UGGACCCAAUAUCCUGUGUGUUUGUAUAGUACAAGUUUAUGCAUUUGUAUGUGUUAUAGAAUAUUGUUCAGGAAUUAUAUGGAAUUAGAGUUAAAAUAAAUAAAUAAAAUGAUGUCUAUAAACGCCACAGAUAGCUAGAAAGGAGAAUUAAUCAAAACCAGAGCACACAAGAUCGUGAUUGGAUAUUCACAUUUUACUAUUCGUAUCUAAGGAGAUAAUUAAUGCAUGUGACAAAACCACAUUCAUUUGUUUGCUAAUUGAUUGUACGUUCUUUUAUAUAAAAGGACAUGUACACUAGCUAAAAUGGAGAACAAAUAUAGAUACACAUACUCUUCUCCAGCGCACACAUCACUAGGGAAUUCGAUCUAUAUAUCCUCUUCUUCUCAUGGCGGUGUUCAAGACGACAAUCGUCCUAUUCCUGGUUUUUGCGGUCCUGUCUUCAACGUCUCCGUGCUACGAAGCCGGACGAAGCUGCAUUGGUGGCUGCGAUCAGCAGCUAGAUGCGACACCGUGCGUGGACCCUCUCAAGAAUGACGCGGACCACUGCACGACCGCGACAUGCGCCUUGCAAUGCCUGUCCGCCAAGCACAAGACCAAGUCUGCCUACUGCAAGCAUGAGGGCAGCAAAUACGAGUGCUGCUGCCCGCCAUGAGAGCAAUCAAGCUAGAGCAGGGGUUAUGUGAUACACUCAAUAAAAUAAAUAAACUUAACGUUUGUUCAAUAAUAAAGAGAUGGAAGGGAUACUGACUUUAUCAAACACUAGCUCGAUCGCAUAUGCAUGGAUGGCUGGGCACUGAGCUUUUUGAAAUGAAUUGUGAUAUGGUUUGACUA